GGCGCAUAAUCCUUUUUCAAAAGCUUUGUCACCACUAUCGUAUAACUUUGUGGUGGCUCGAAAUAGUGUUUUCUCGUCUCUCGCGGUCGAAAUAUAAGAGAGCAAAAAAAAAAAAUCGCUCUUUUUUCGCUUCUCUCUCCCUCUUGGGGACGAAGGUGCGAGCCAUGUCGCUGAGGCCGAAGGCAAGGGCGGAGUCUGCCGGAGCAAGUACAAGGUGGUGGUGGACGCGGAGGAGGGGCGGCGGCGGAGGUAGGACAACAUGGUGGAGAUCCGGAAGAGCCGGCGGGAGAAGAGCCUCCAGAAGAAGCGGUGAGAGGGCAUGCAGACCCAGCCCUUCUCCGCCUCCAUCCACGCAUCCACCGUGGAGAAUAAGUUCGAAAGCCUGCCCGCCAUAGUGGCUGGAGUUUAUUCGAGUGAUAGCUUUUUGCAGCUCGAAGCUACCACACAGUUUCGGAAAUUGCUUUUGAUGGGUAUUCAACUAGUCAUGAAGUUUGAAUUUUUAUGAUCUUUUGGAAUAAAAGUUUGUACUGAUUGCAUUGACUAUCAGGUCUGUAAUGGAAUUCUGCAUUGGGUGGAUCUUGCCAUUAAGUUGUUUGAUUAACCUGAGAUUAUAAUUACGUAUGUACGUAUUUCGGAUCACUCGAGCAGCUGGAAGCUGCGUGGGUGCUAACUAACAUUGCCUCUGGGACAUCAGAGAACACCAAAGUUGUGGUUGAUCAUGGUGCUGUGCCGAUAUUUGUGAAGCUCCUAGAUUCCCCUAAUGAUGAUGUCAGAGAACAGGUAUAUGAUUACUUGAUGUUGUUAGGAGUUGGGUUUAUUGAGUAAUGUUAUACUAUCGAAGAUUGGUUAUUGGAAAUAGCCUUGCAGAUAGAAUCGUCGUGGUUGGACUCUCUGGUUUUUUGGCAUGCUUGUGUUGUUCUUGUUGUAUCUUUUUUGGAAUUUGUAGGCUGUGUGGGCAUUGGGCAAUGUUGCUGGUGAUUCUCCAGGAUGCCGUGAACUUGUGCUUGCCAAUGGUGCAUUGUUUCCAUUGCUGGAAUAGUUUAAAGGCGUGCCAAGCUCUCUAUGCUGAGGAAUGCCGCUUGGACUUGGUCGAACUUCUGCAGGGGAAAGCCACAGCCAUCUUUUGAGCGGGUUUAGUUGUCAGUGCAUGUUUGUGUUGUUAUUUCUGUAUUCUGUAAUGCCAUGGACCAUGCGAUGCUUAUGUGAAUUUUUUUUAUGUUCUUCAUGAGCAGACAAGGCCUGCCCUUCCAGCUAGGACAGAGCAAGUAACCGAAACCCGAAGAAACCCACCCAAUCUGACCCAAUAAACAUCGGUUUCGAUCAGUUGAAAGACAUAAAUCGGGUGGAAUCGGAUUAGAGCUUAUAAAAAAUCAGUUAUUUACAGUCGGAUUUGAUUCUUACACUUUUAACCCAUAUGAAAUCAAAUCCAACCGAUGUAGUAUUUCACAAACUCACUUUCACUUUUGGGAUGGCAUUAUUUAGACUUCAAUACUUCAUUCUAAAAAGCAUUCUGUUACCUAUUUGGAUUCAUGAGAAUAUUAAUGUUGAAUUAUUGAUAGACGCACAUUAAUUUGAGACAAUUUUAAAGUGAAAGCUUUUCAAAUGUAGUUGCUUUUAGAUGAGUAAAUCUUUUCUGAUUCUGUUUUAUUUUAUACAGAUUCAAAAAUAAAUCCAAAAUUUAUAACUUAUAAGGUUUAGGCCUUUUUUGCAUUAGAUUGAUAAAAAAAUAAAUAAAUAAGCUUAAGUGAGCCAACAUUGGAAUUAAAAUCAACAUUGAAGCCCAACUUGACACAACCCAUCCGAAUCCACUAUAAACCGCUCACUUGAGUUUCAAAUGGUUUAUACAUAAUAAAUAGUUGGCAACGGAUUGAAUUUCUUCAACCGAUUGGGUUUGGUCAAAUAAAAUUUUUCUCUCAACCCGACCGAAUCCAACUUAUGUUCAACCCUACUUCCAAUACUUGAGAGCCUCAUCCAUUCGAAUGAUGGGGAAGUUCUCAUUGAUGCUUGCUGGGCACUAUCAUACCUUUCUGGCGGUGCACAUAUCAAAAUCCAUGCAGUAACUGAAUCAGGCAUUUGCCCUCGGCUUGUUGAGCUUCCUCUAUAUGUGAUUUUAUUUUUUCCCUGAAGAGUUUGAUGAUAUGACUUUUUUCUUUGGUACAUGUUUUCAAUUUUCAUUAGUAAUUUUUGUUUUAGAAUCUUUGUCCUUGCAGUCAUCCCUCAUCUUUCAGUUCUUAUGCCCACCCUUCGAACUGUAGGAAACAUUUUCACUGGGGUUGAUGUGCAAACACAGGUAUAUUACAAUUUUCUAAUGACAACAUUUAUGCUUUGGUAUUGCUCUUACGUUGUUACAUAUUAGUCUUCUUCAGUUAUACUUCGCAGUUUUGUCACACAGGUGUACCAUGAUCUUCUAAUGACACAGUUAUUUAUGCUUUGAUGUUGCUUUUACGUAGUUAUGUAUUAGCCUUGUCUGGUUAUACUUCACAGUUUUGCCUGUUGAGCCCUGUUCUCCCUUCUAAUUGAAAACAUGUUAACAUCUUAAAUGUAAGAAAUGAGCAUGCAUGUUUGCUCCUCGGAGGGAUUUUAGGGCUCAGAUGUUCUGGUACUUGUAGAUCUGUAAUUUUGGCAUAACAUACCCUUGGCUGAUUGGUAGAUCAACAAUUAAUAAGUUGCAUAUUGCUUGUCAUCUUGGUGUUCUCACAUUUCAUUAGCUAUCACUGUCUGUAUAAUGCUUGGAUGUUGUCUGUUUCCACUUUUGGUUUUUCUACAGUGGAUGGAUCCAUGCUUCUAAAUGAGGCCGCGUAGAUGAUCUCUUAGGUUUAGGCUGGUACUCUGCCGUCUUGCCUAGGGUCCAGCUCACCUGGGAGGCUGCUCCUGGUGCAGCCACCCACCAAGCAAGUAUGGGCCGCAGGCUUUUGGCAGCCUCGACAACUAGACAUUUGUCAGGGCUAACUAAGGUUUAAGUUUGACUAGUUGUUUGGGUUAUAAACCUCCAGUUUACCUCAUCUCUCCUCGAGGGACUCUAAUAACUUGACCUUAGUUUGCAUGCUACAAGUUUCAACAUUUUGAUUGGUUGUUUAUUUUUUGUACCUGUUUGAUUGUUUAUGUAAACUUCAAUUUGAUUGUUUCUUUCUUGUUAGAAUAUAAACUUCAAUUUGAUUGUUUCUUUCUUGUUUGACUUUCUUGUUAAAAUUACUUGAAUUACAAUAUUUUCUUUUAAUUUUUUAUUUUUUGGAUGAAGUAUUGAUGCUAUUCUGUUAUUACUAGGAAAAGUGGUUAUGUAAUUGACAUGUCAUAUUACUCCAAGUUAGGUCCUUAUAAAUAUCCAAGUUUCCUCCAAUUACCUUAAUUCUGGUCUAUGGUCCAUUUUCUUGAAUUGGUACCUUAUAAUACAUAAGUUAUGAGAAUGUGUUAUUAGACAAUAUCUAAUGAUAAUACUUUGCAAGCCUGACAGAUAUGCUUCACUUAUCCCAUUUGAUCCAACCUUGACGUCACCUUUAUCAGUGAACUUAUCUAUUAAAAUUUGAAAAUGUCUCAAGAUUGACUUAUACAACACAAUCUCUGCUUCCAAAUAAUACAGAAGGAGAGAAAUGUCAGAGGUGAUUAGAGGGGGGACAAAAUGAGAGUGAUGAUGUAGAGGAGGAUGAAGGGGGAGGUUUGGUAUAUUCCACCUCCUCCUGCCAUCCCUUUUUGGAGCCAGUCCAAAACACCCCUAGCCCUUUGGUUUAUUUAUAUAUGUGCUUUAGAAUGGGCUUAAGCUCUAUCCUUUAGAUAAUUUUUGGGAUAUGUCUUAGAUGGGUUUUCAGCAUCACCUAAACAAUUUAUCAAGGUUGUGGGUUGCAGGUAGAGCAACUUCACCAAAGCCUAGUUAGCAGCCCUAGUGCUUUGUAGUGAAAACAGAUAAAAAGUGCAGUGGUUAUUCCGAUUGGGCAAAUAGAAUGCUCAUUGGUAAUUUUAAUGGUGGAUAAAUGAACUGACUGGAAUUGCUCCAUUCUGUGUAUUGUGCUUAUUAAGACUAUUUAUGAGAGGCAAAGUUGGAUUGUUCUGAUGAAUUUUUUUGGUUAUCAAAGCUAUAGUAUGUGAAGUUUAAGCAUGGCCCGAGCUUAAGGAUUUCCCCCUCCUUUUUGUAUGUCUCUUAACUUGUUACAAUUUGAAUUGUUUUUUUACUUCUGUCUGUGAGAUAGACAUGCUAUAUGUAGCUCUGAUCUCUCUAAUCAGUAGCAUAUUCAUGCAUAGCCACCUUUUUAUGUUCUCAUGAACUUCAUCUUGCACAUAUUCUUUCAUGUUUGGUGAUAGAAAGUGUUAGUUCCAUCUAUCAAAUGAUCAAUUUAUUUAUCUUUUUCCUUUAGUGCAUCAUUGAUCAUCAAGCACUUCCCUGCCUUCUCAAUCUUUUGACACAAAAUCAUAAAAAAAGCAUCAAGAAGGAAGCCUGUUGGACUAUUGCAAAUAUUGCUCUGGAUAGAAGGAGCAGAUUCAGGUUUUUGGUGAGCCAAGGCUGCAUCAAGCCAUUGUGUCAUCUUCUUGUUUGCCCAGAUCCUGGAAUAGUUAGUCUGUUUGGAAGGGCUUCAGGACAUACUGAAGGUUGGCAAAGCUGAGAAGAACUUGGGCACCGCCGGGGGGAGUGAGGGGGUGUUUGGUUGGGGGAAAUGGGGAUCUGGAAUAAGAAUUGGAAUGGAUGACUCUCAUUCCAACCGUUUGGUUGGGAGGAGUCCCAUUCCGAUUCCGAUUCUAGAGUAGAAUGGGAAUGGCUCAAUCUAUAUAGAACUCAAUCCCUAUUCUCCUCUAUGGAUUCAAAUUUUCAUUCCAAUUCCGAUUCCGGUCACGAACCAAACGCUUUGGGAAAUUUGGCCAUUCCGAUUCCGAUUCCAAGCCAUUCCGAUUCCCUUUUUUAUUUCGAUUGCGAACCAAACACCCCCUGAAUCUCUAUGAGCAGAUGAUUGAUGAAGCUGGAGGGUUAGUGAAGAUUGAGCAUCUGCAAGGCCAUGACAAUGGUGAUAUCUAUGAGAAGGCUGUGAAGAUCCUUGAAAAUUAUCGGCCAGAGGAGGAUGAUGAAACCAUGGCUUCAGGUGAUGCUGCUCAAUCAAGAUGUCACUUUGGCAACAAUGAGCAGAUCUCCGUUCCUUCUGGUGGAUUCAACUUCAGGGGAAGAAGGUUGUGCAAAAAGGGUUCUCAUCUAGAGUUGCAGAAGGACAAUGCCGCAGCUCUGGUGAUGGGGAAGUCGUUGGUCAACUGGUGAGUCCUGUCAUGUUGGUCUGAGUCUUGUCAGUCCAGUUGUGCAUGUGGUUGAGGCAUUGCUGCUACAAUGGUUACCUGCGUUUCCAAAGUUGGAUGUGUAGAAAUAUCUGCUCUAUUAAAGGUAUCUUGUGGUGUGUGAUAAGCACAGGUUACAAUCUUUUGCAUCCUGUGUGCUUAUAAUCUUUUGCGUCCUGUAUAUCAUGAGUAAAAGAGUGAUUUCUGUGAGGCCUAUAAGAAUUAUUGUUGGUUGGGUAUUGUUUCAAGGGUCUCUCAUUAUGGCCUUCCUGAAAAGUAUAUAUUUGUAGGCUGUCAUGUGGGAAAGAAUGUCUUUUGAACAAAGAGAUGAAGCAUAUGGUAUUGUUCUGUUGUUUUCAGUUCUGUACUUAUACAUUAUAGUUGAUGGCAUCUAUUGUUAUUGUUGUUUCAGCUUAA